rnacentral:lncRNA from 1 species
CAUAACACACAGUUCAUAAGCGGCAGGACAGAUCUAGGUAACUCCAAAAUUUGUUCUUAUCUACUAGGCUAUCGUAUUUGCCUGGGGGAGGGGCAGCUUGACUCCCACAUUCAGCCCAAAACACAGAGUCUGGAAUGAGGAAUGAGCAAGGAAGGAGAACGUGAAUGGUGUGUGUACUAUGACAGGUUGAAGAUGGAAUCCAUGGAGGAAGGCAGACGCCUGGGUGCCAGUCCAGAAGUGGCACUGUGAAAGCACCUGUCACAUCUGCUGUAGACGCCCUAGCAAUCCAGUGGGCUUGGAUUUGGACAUUCUCAGGAGGAACGGUUAAAGGCUGAUGGGACCAUAAAAGAUGAUAAUAUCUGGAAAGAUGAUGCUCAGAUACUUGGUAGAUCGUGUAAUUCAACUAAUUCCAAGAUAGAAGCUGGUUCAUUUGAUACCAGAGAAAUGAAGUUUCAGGAGAUCAAAACUGGAUCUCAGUCUCAUUUCUUUCCCAGGCUGGAAUUCUUGGGUGCUAUAAGUCCUGGAUAUACAACAGAUGUGAUGACAACAUUUUUCUUUUACGCAUGAAGAUAGAUGAUUCUUCAAAUUAAAGAUUGAAGCUGACUUUUCUCACCAGAAAUGGCU